rnacentral:rRNA from 1 species
ACGGGUGAGUAAUACAUCGGAACGUGCCCAGUCGUGGGGGAUAACUACGCGAAAGCGUAGCUAAUACCGCAUACGAUCUACGGAUGAAAGCGGGGGACCGUAAGGCCUCGCGCGAUUGGAGCGGCCGAUGGCAGAUUAGGUAGUUGGUGGGGUAAAGGCCUACCAAGCCGACGAUCUGUAGCUGGUCUGAGAGGACGACCAGCCACACUGGGACUGAGACACGGCCCAGACUCCUACGGGAGGCAGCAGUGGGGAAUUUUGGACAAUGGGCGCAAGCCUGAUCCAGCCAUUCCGCGUGCAGGAUGAAGGCCCUCGGGUUGUAAACUGCUUUUGUACGGAACGAAACGGCGCUUUCUAAUACAAGGCGCUAAUGACGGUACCGUAAGAAUAAGCACCGGCUAACUACGUGCCAGCAGCCGCGGUAAUACGUAGGGUGCGAGCGUUAAUCGGAAUUACUGGGCGUAAAGCGUGCGCAGGCGGUGAUGUAAGACAGAUGUGAAAUCCCCGGGCUCAACCUGGGAACUGCAUUUGUGACUGCAUCGCUGGAGUGCGGCAGAGGGGGAUGGAAUUCCGCGUGUAGCAGU